CCAUUGCAGGAGCAGCAGCAUAUAUCACUUUUGCACCAACUGCGAUAUGAUCAGAAGGCAAGCCAACAUUUCUUUCCUUCUGAUUUGAACAAUAAAUGGUGCCUCGAACACUCGUUGAAGAAUAUCCCUUUUCUGGUCUGAUGUGCUUCAGGAGAUCUCUAUACUUAAUGGUAAUUCCAUUUUUGGAAUACUUCUUAUGAGAGUAAACGUGAUGUCUA
rnacentral:lncRNA from 1 species